rnacentral:rRNA from 1 species
UACGGAGGGUGCGAGCGUUGUCCGGAAUCACUGGGCGUAAAGGGCGCGUAGGCGGCGCGGAUAGUCGGCGGUGAAAGCCCGGAGCUCAACUCCGGGUCGGCCGUCGAUACUUCCGGGCUUGAGCACUGUAGAGGCAGAUGGAAUUCCGGGUGUAGCGGUGGAAUGCGUAGAGAUCCGGAAGAACACCGGUGGCGAAGGCGGUCUGCUGGGCAGUUGCUGACGCUGAUGCGCGACAGCGUGGGGAGCAAACGAGGAUUAGAAACCCGGUG